rnacentral:misc_RNA from 1 species
CCCGUGUUGCUAAGAUUUGU